rnacentral:rRNA from 1 species
CCCUUAGAUGUUCUGGGCUGCACGCGCGCUACACUGAUGCGUUCAACAAGUUGGACCUCGUCCGAGAGGAAAUCGGGGGAAUCUUUUGAAAACGUAUCGUGAUAGGGAUAGAUUAUUGUAAUUAUUAAUCUUCAACGAGGAAUUCCUAGUAAGCAUGAGUCAUCAGCUCGUGCUGAUUACGUCCCUGCCCUUUGUACACACCGCCCGUCGCUCCUACCGAUUGAAUGAUCCGGUGAAUUAACCAGAUUGUGGCGAGGGUAGUUUUCUGCUAUUGCUACGAAAAGGUUUGUGAACCUUAUCACUUAGAGGAAGGAGAAGUCGUAACA